AUGACGGAAAAUGGUGGUAAAAUCCAAAAUUUUACAGCUGUCCGCAGAGAAGAAGUGGAUGGCAGUUCCUGCUACACCAUCUAUCACUGUGUUAAUACUUAUGAUAAGCUAAUAUUUGGAAAGGGCACUAAACUAGUAGUAAAGCCAGAAACAGAGCAGAAAGACCCUUCUGUGUACAAACUCAAAUCUUCUAAACAAGGUGAAGGCUUGCCAAAUUUUGUGUGCCUUGUCACAGAUUUCCCAAAUCCCCAGACGAAUUUAACGGUUGAUGGAAUAGAGAGUUCUCUCAGUGCUACAGCUGUUCUGGACAAGUCAACAAAUGAUGUUUGGAGAUAUAGCACAGUCGUAUGGGAUAACAAUAAUGAUGUUGAUUGUCGUAUGCGGUAUGGUGAUGGCAACGAAAUAUACCCAAAAUCUGACCCAGAAAACGCUGAAGAGACUUGCUCAUCACUUUCCAUCGAUGCGUCUUUCCGAACAAAAAACGCUGAAGAGACUUGCUCAUCACUUUCCAUCGAUGCGUCUUUCCGAACAAAUCCAAGCUUGAAUACUUUGUCUCAAACAGUGCUUGGUUGGAGGGCCCUUACAGCCAAAGCAAUUAUAUUCAAUCUCAUAAUAACUCUCCGACUUUGGUCAUCUUAA